UGUGUAGGUGGCCUGUUAAGUUCCGUGUGAAAUCUCCCGGCUCAACCGGGAGGGUGCGCGGAAAACUGGCGGGCUAGAGUGCGGGAUGGGAGAGUAGAAUUCCUGGUGUAGCGGUGAAAUGCGUAGAUAUCAGGAGGAAUACCGGUGGUGUAGACGGCUCUCUGGACCGUAACUGACACUGAAACACGAAAGCGUGGGUAGCAAACAGGAUUAGAUACCCUGGUAGUCCACGCCCUAAACGAUGCACAUUUGGUGUAGGUCAUUCAGUUGAUCUGUGCCGGAGCUAACGCGUUAAAUGUGCCGCCUGGGGAGUACAGUCGCAAGGCUAGAA
rnacentral:rRNA from 1 species